rnacentral:rRNA from 1 species
AGUGAACGCUGGCGGUAGGCCUAACACAUGCAAGUCGAACGGCAGCACAGUAAGAGCUUGCUCUUACGGGUGGCGAGUGGCGGACGGGUGAGGAAUACAUCGGAAUCUACUUUUUCGUGGGGGAUAACGUAGGGAAACUUACGCUAAUACCGCAUACGACCUACGGGUGAAAGCAGGUGAUCUUCGGACCUUGCGCGAUUGAAUGAGCCGAUGUCGGAUUAGCUAGUUGGCGGGGUAAAGGCCCACCAAGGCGACGAUCCGUAGCUGGUCUGAGAGGAUGAUCAGCCACACUGGAACUGAGACACGGUCCAGACUCCUACGGGAGGCAGCAGUGGGGAAUAUUGGACAAUGGGCGCAAGCCUGAUCCAGCCAUACCGCGUGGGUGAAGAAGGCCUUCGGGUUGUAAAGCCCUUUUGUUGGGAAAGAAAAGCAGCAGGUUAAUACCCCGCUGUUCUGACGGUACCCAAAGAAUAAGCACCGGCUAACUUAGUG